UCAGGCCUAACACAUGCAAGUCGAGCGGAAACGAGUUAUCUGAACCUUCGGGGAACGAUAACGGCGUCGAGCGGCGGACGGGUGAGUAACGCCUAGGAAAUUGCCCUGAUGUGGGGGAUAACCAUUGGAAACGAUGGCUAAUACCGCAUGAUGCCUACGGGCCAAAGAGGGGGACCUUCGGGCCUCUCGCGUCAGGAUAUGCCUAGGUGGGAUUAGCUAGUUGGUGAGGCAAGGGCUCACCAAGGCGACGAUCCCUAGCUGGUCUGAGAGGAUGAUCAGCCACACUGGAACUGAGACACGGUCCAGACUCCUACGGGAGGCAGCAGUGGGGAAUAUUGCACAAUGGGCGCAAGCCUGAUGCAGCCAUGCCGCGUGUGUGAAGAAGGCCUUCGGGUUGUAAAGCACUUUCAGUCGUGAGGAAGGUAGUGUAGUUAAUAGCUGCAUUAUUUGACGUUAGCGACAGAAGAAGCACCGGCUAACUCCGUGCCAGCAGCCGCGGUAAUACGGAGGGUGCGAGCGUUAAUCGGAAUUACUGGGCGUAAAGCGCAUGCAGGUGGUUUGUUAAGUCAGAUGUGAAAGCCCGGGGCUCAACCUCGGAAUAGCAUUUGAAACUGGCAGACUAGAGUACUGUAGAGGGGGGUAGAAUUUCA
rnacentral:rRNA from 1 species